rnacentral:lncRNA from 1 species
GGGAUAAUUGCACUCCUGAUCUUACUCCCGGGUUAUAUCCUAUUUACCUGUCCCCUUCCAGAUUUUCUUUGAUUUUAUUUCACGGAAGAAGUAGAAGAAUGUUUAAUUAUCCUUUUCCAACAGGUAUUGCUUCAUAGCAAAUCAGGAAAAGUCGGCAAAUCAAAAAGCAUUUAAUUUCCACCAGCGUUUCUUCACGUUCUCAGACGCUUUUCCGGUGUGGACUCAGGGAAUCGCCCAAGUCUCCCUGCAGACCAAUGCUCAACCUCGUGCAACACGAAGUUUCGAGUUUCCCGUGCUCACCUCAAAGGGUGUGAACACACCAGAGAGACUUCAAGAGGCGGUUCCUAUGGGUCACAGCUGGAUCAGCCUCCCUUGGAGUCUGUUCUCAUCAGAUGCAUGGUCACACUGAGUAAUGUCAUCCAGGUAGGCUCAGAAUGAAGGGAAAUCUGUUAGAAAAGUACUUACCAAAUGGUCUCUGUU